rnacentral:rRNA from 1 species
AGUCGACGGGAAGACAUGAAGAGCUUGCUCUUUAUGAAAUCCAGUGGCAAACGGGUGAGUAACACGUAAACAACCUGCCUUCAGGAUGGGGACAACAGACGGAAACGACUGCUAAUACCGAAUACGAUUCUUGAGUCGCAUGACACAAGAAAGAAAGGGUGGCCUCUACUUGUAAGCUAUCGCCUGAAGAGGGGUUUGCGUCCGAUUAGGUAGUUGGUGAGGUAACGGCCCACCAAGCCGACGAUCGGUAGCCGGUCUGAGAGGAUGAACGGCCACAUUGGAACUGAGACACGGUCCAGACUCCUACGGGAGGCAGCAGUGGGGAAUCUUCCGCAAUGGGCGAAAGCCUGACGGAGCAACGCCGCGUGAGUGAAGACGGCCUUCGGGUUGUAAAACUCUGUGAUUCGGGACGAAAGAUAAGUAGACGAAUAAUCUGCAUAAGUGACGGUACCGAAAAAGCAAGCCACGGCUAACUACGUGCCAGCAGCCGCGGUAAUACGUAGGUGGCAAGCGUUGUCCGGAAUUAUUGGGCGUAAAGCGCGCGCAGGCGGCUACUUAAGUCCAUCUUAAAAGUGCGGGGCUUAACCCCGUGAUGGGAUGGAAACUGAGAAGCUGGAGUGUCGGAGAGGAAAGUGGAAUUCCUAGUGUAGCGGUGAAAUGCGUAGAGAUUAGGAAGAACACCGGUGGCGAAGGCGACUUUCUGGACGACAACUGACGCUUAGGCGCGAAAGCGUGGGGAGCAAACAGGAUUAGAUACCCUGGUAGU